rnacentral:lncRNA from 1 species
AUUGCUGUAGUGUGAGCAAAAUAUAAAAUAACAUUUCUGUUGUGUUUUGGAUUUAAAGCCUUUUUAUGGACCAGUGUGGAUAUUUAUUCACCGUUCCUGCGGGCAAACAUAUUCAUGAAUGGUAACUCCAGACGCUGCAAGUAAACAUCCCUAUAUUCAGAGCAGCUAGGGAAGAUACCACCUUGCCAAUAGGAAGAGGCCAAGGCAGGGACAAAAAUCCCUCUGCAGCUGUGCCGGACACAUGGAAUAUGACCAAAGGGACCACCCGCCUUGCACCUGCCAUGGCCUCCCAAAGCAGAGGGACUCAGAGCGGGACAUUCCUGCAUAGCAAUAGAGGGCAUUCAUAACUGAGAGGUUUAUGAGCUAGAGAAUAACUGGGAUGCGUUUCCUACCCUUCCUUCCCCCACAUUAGACAUCUAAGACGGUCUCAGUGAUAGGAUCCAAAACAUAGAUGUCACCUGGCCCCAGAAAGACCACCCGUUAGUACUGCAGCAUGGCUGGCCUGUAUCUGUUCAUAUCAAAUCCACUAAUGGAAGAAAACAGGACAAGAAAAUAAAAUCUUCAGGAAUUGAGGUAGAAAUAAAUUCAAGGAUAAUUAUUCAGGAAAAAAAGGAAAAAUAGAGAGAGAAAGAAGGAAACUUCAGUGUUCAUGCUUCCACCAAAAAAUACCAGCUGCUUCCUUCAGCUUUGAUCUGACUCCACUCUCCUCCCUUUCCAGGGUUGUCUUUGCUAAUAGGAUGGAUAUGACCUUGGGCUGGAACUGAACUAUUACUAAAGGAGAUAUGAUCCGGACCUGGUCCACCUGGCAGGUGUCAAAUGAAAACAAUCAUUUGGACUUGAAGGGCUGCCUUCUGGAUUCCAGCUGUGCGUCUGAGGCUCUGAUUCACCCAGGCCUUUGGCAUCAGUGACACAGGUGCCCUUUCUGGGAGACGACUGCCGUGUGUGUGAACCUCUCCUGUAGCCCAGGACGCAAGGUCAGCUUCCGAACGCACAAAGUCCUGCUUUGACAUGAAGGAGCGCAGGAGAGGUGAGGGGCAAGGUUUGUUACAGGGCCCUGGAAUUUUUCUGCAGAGACCUGAAGGUCUGCUCUUGCGUCCAAGCCCUGGCCAGUUACGAAAUGUCUGAGCAAAAGGGUUACUUAAAGUAAAAUGUUUGGGGCAGAAGCUUGCCACAGCGGUUGAGAAGCCACCUGGGAAACCAGCAUCCCUUAUGAGAGUGUCUGGGUUUCCGUCCUGGCUCUGUUGCAAGUGCAGCUUCCUGUUAAUGUACACUCCGUGGGUCCACAGGUGACAGCUCUGCCACCAACAUGGGAGAUCAGCCCUGGCUGUUGCAGUCA